GAUAAAGAACGCAGCGAAAUGCGAUACGUAAUGUGAAUUGCAGAAUUCAGUGAAUCAUCGAAUCUUUGAACGCAUAUUGCGCUCUCUGGUAUUCCGGAGAGCAUGCUUGUUUGAGUAUCAGUAAACACCUCAACUCCCUUUUCUUUUUUGAAAUGGGAGCUGGACUUGAGUGAUCCCAACACUUUUCUCACUGGAAAGUGGCGGGUCACUUGAAAUGCAGGUGCAGCUGGACUUUUCUCUGAGCUAUAAGCAUAUCUAUUUAGUCUGCCUAAAAAACAGAUUAUUACCUUUGCUGCAGCUAACAUAAAGGAGAUGAGUUCUUGUGCUGACUGAUGCAGGAUUCACAGAGACAGCUUUGCGGCUGACUUUGUAAACUCGAUCUCAAAUCAAGUAAGACUACCCGCUGAACUUAAGCAUAUCAAUAAGCGGAGGA
rnacentral:misc_RNA from 1 species